rnacentral:rRNA from 1 species
CCCUUAGAUGUUCUGGGCGGCCCGCGCACUACAUUGGCACUCUCAAUAAGUUCCUAGAUCUAAAACUUUGGGGUAUUCUAUUAAGUGGUGUCGUGACUGGGAUUAACCCUUGCAAUUAUUUGUUACGAACGAGGAAUUCCUUGUAAUCGCGGUUUAUCAGCCCGCGUUGAAUGCGUCCCUGCCCUUUGUACACACCGCCCGUCGCUCCUACCGAUGAAUCGUCCGGUGAAGUUCAUGGAGUGGUGGUUGUUCCAGCUGCUGUCGAAGUGAAAUGGACCUCACGAUUUAGAGGAAGGAGAAGUCGUAACA